rnacentral:lncRNA from 1 species
AGAGAAAUAGUAUGUUGAAGUUGAUAUAGAAUAGUGAAGUGUUGUUAGGAACACGUUAUCUUGACUGGUGAAAUGCAUGCGUUUUUUCUUUACACAUUGUAAAUGCAGAUGACAGCGUAAAAACCUCAGUUUGGAGGAGUUAAUUUUAUUAUUCCAUAAAAGAUAACUUUAUAAAUUUUGGCUAAAAAGAUAUUGCCUUGAAAUUAUUUUUCAGUGAAAGAGGAGAGUGUAAAAUAGUUACACUCAAAAAUUAAAAACAAAUUUAUUCUUCAUAAUAUAUUUUAAAUAUUUGACAUAUUUGCUCCCUUAAUUUCCAUCCACGUUUUAGAAAUGUUAUCAUAGGGUUUCAAUUCCGACACGAACAGGAGAUAAAUACAUAUAAACAGAAUAGGGUGAAAUAAGUUUAUUCUAUGCUUCAAUGAACAAAAUGUGCGUACAUGCAUGAUACAUCUAAACAGAAGAAUUUUUGUCGAAAAAUUAGGCAUAUAAAGUGUUCAUUUGAAAUAAAAACGGUUGAGCAAUGAUGGAAUCGGAGUUAAAAGACUGCAUUACAUAACAAUGGUCUUCCUUCAAUGGUCUUCCUUCAAGCAAUGAUGGAAUCGGAGUUAAAAGACUGCAUUACAUAACAAUAGUCUUCCUUACGUCGAUUGUAAAUGUUUUGAUUUCCUUCUGCCAAGUUUUUGUAUUAAAGUAAAAGAAACACCCCCGUUCCCAGUCACUGCCGGUGGCAUCGGGAAUGACACCAGGAAUUCUGGACAUCCAUAUUUUUUCAAUUUUGUUAUAACGCCAUUCUCGUUUGAAGAGUUCAAACGAAGCCGCCAUUUGCAUCGUAUCUCCAACAUAUACGUAAAAUAGAUAAAACAAUACAUCAUCGGAGUACCUUGAAAGUUUUACUGGAGGCAAUUGCUCCUUUAUUCUGUAAUUGUUUAUGUAUUCGGUGGGAUUAUAUUGAUCAAUGUUUUUUGGUUGAGCAGGAAUCGGUGUCCAGGGAUUUUUGAAUUUGUCCAAUUGACUUCCAUUUUUAUUCGGUAACAAUUUGUUUAAAUUCAGGCCAGUCAAAUGCUCGUUACCCGGUGGCAAACUUCGUUUUAAUUCUAAGUCUUGAAAGAAAGACAAGAGCCCAAAAUCAUAACCAGCAUUAAUGUUUCGAUUUUUUGUAGCACUGUACCUAGAUUCCGGCAUACUACCUCGCACGUUUAGAGGAGGUUUCUUUCUUCCGUCUGUGAUACUUGGAUGUUCGUGUGGGAACUGCUGUACUGGUGUAACUCCUGAUAACGCUGAAUGAUCACUAGUAAGUGAGAAAGUCGUGCCUUUUGGAGUCGCAUAAUCGUCGAGGAUAGUAUUAGUGGAAGGAAUUACGUUCUCCUGCUUCCCUGUCCACUGCCACGUUGAUGCACAAGUGCUUGGAUCCAUCCAAGUUUUGGAAACAUCAGCAUAGGUAGGGACUAUUCCUCUUGAGGCAUUGAAUUGUGCAUGUCUUUCCUGAAUUUCGCGAGAUGUAGUCGAUUUGAACCUGGUUUUGUUUUGUUUGUGCGUUAUACUGGGUUGAUGACUAACAGUUUCAGAGUCUGAUAUUUUAUUACAUAUUCUGCCACUUGAUUGAUCCAUGGUGAUAUGUAAAUCAAGGUUUAGUUUAUCGUCUAAAAGCGGUAACGAUAGAUUAGAAAAUGCAGUGGAAGAUUGUAGAUUUGACUCGUUUUCAUUCAGCUGAACAUUGUCCUUAUGUGUUGUAGCCCCAUAUUUCACAACGUUUGAAUACAGGCAUGGAUGGUUUGCAGUUCGUGAACGAUACGUAUAAUUUCCUUCUCCAAGGCACAAAGAAACAUUUUCUCUGUUUUGAUUAGAAUUCAUUUUUACCUAGGCAGAUAUUCUGGAAACACAGCACAGUUACAUCUGAAUAUGGCACUGCCU